GACGAACGCUGGCGGCGUGCCUAACACAUGCAAGUCGAACGGGGGUAUUAUUUCGAUGAAUACCUUAGUGGCGAACGGGUGAGUAACGCGUGAGCAACCUAUCCUUAAGAGGGGGAUAACAUCUGGAAACAGAUGCUAAUACCGCAUAAGACCACACUGCCGCAUGGCAGAGGGGUCAAAGGAGCAAUCCGUUUAAGGAGGGGCUCGCGUCCCAUUAGAUAGUUGGUGAGGUAACAGCUCACCAAGUCAGCGAUGGGUAGCCGAGCUGAGAGGCUGAUCGGCCACACUGGAACUGAGACACGGUCCAGACUCCUACGGGAGGCAGCAGUGGGGAAUAUUGGGCAAUGGGGGGAACCCUGACCCAGCAACGCCGCGUGAGGGAAGAAGGCCUUCGGGUUGUAAACCUCUGUCAUUAGGGAAGAAGAAAGUGACGGUACCUAAUGAGGAAGCCCCGGCUAACUACGUG
rnacentral:rRNA from 1 species